AUAAUUUUAUAUUAUUUUUCAUAGCUGCACAGAAUGGAACUUCUUUUUUUCAUGGACUCCUGACAGUGACGCCAUGCCCCUGGACCUCAUCAUCCAUCUGCCGCCAUCUGUUGGUUUGUUGUUGUUGGCAAUUGCUUGGAUUAACUGUGAGGAAAUAUCCAUAUGUUCCUGUGGUCAUUAAGACAGGUUCUUCCACUCUGAAAAAUUUCCAUACUGUUCUAACACCAAGAGCCACUCUCGGUGUAGCUGGAAGAGGUUUGAAAGCAGCUGGAUAAGAUAUCUGAGGAUCUGUGCCAGUCCACUGAGGCAAGGUAAGUGAG
rnacentral:lncRNA from 1 species